rnacentral:lncRNA from 1 species
AUAUAUUCAAUUCUAUAUGGUAGUGAGAUAUACUAUGAUCUCUACCAUAGUGUCAUUGAAAUUCUUUUCAAUGGGUCAGAAUGAUUCCAUUCUAACUCAUCAAGGAUUAUCGAUCCUAAGCAAUCUUAGUGAGCUCUCACAAUCCAUCAGUGAUACCUAGCAGUAUAUAGUGACAACCCAGUAGAACCAAAAAAUAAUCUCAAAGUAUAGUUCACAUGUGAUUCAGUCUCUCUAUCAUAAGUCUCGACU